rnacentral:rRNA from 1 species
UGUCGUUAGUUGCCAGCAUGUAAAGAUGGGGACUCUAACGAUACUGCCUACGCAAGUAGUGAGGAAGGUGGGGAUGACGUCAAAUCAUCACGGCCCUUACGUCCUGGGCCACACACGUGCUACAAUGGUAUGGACAAUGAGCAGCCAUCUGGCAACAGAGCGCGAAUCUACAAACCAUAUCACAGUUCGGAUCGGAGUCUGCAACUCGACUCCAUGAAGCUGGAAUCGCUAGUAAUCGGAUAUCAGCCAUGAUCCGGUGAAUACGUUC